rnacentral:tRNA from 1 species
GAGGGUGUCCCAAGACCUGCUAAAUCUUUAACCUGGAAUUAAACGCCAGCCCCC